rnacentral:rRNA from 1 species
UGGGGAAUAUUGCACAAUGGGCGCAAGCCUGAUGCAGCCAUGCCGCGUGUAUGAAGAAGGCCUCGGGUUGUAAAGUACUUUCAGCGAGGAGGAAGGUGUUGUGGUUAAUAACCGCAGCAAUUGACGUUACUCGCAGAAGAGCACCGGCUAACUCCGUGCCAGCAGCCGCGGUAAUACGGAGGGUGCAAGCGUUAAUCGGAAUUACUGGGCGUAAAGCGCACGCAGGCGGUCUGUCAAGUCGGAUGUGAAAUCCCCGGGCUCAACCUGGGAACUGCAUCCGAAACUGGCAGGCUAGAGUCUUGUAGA